rnacentral:tRNA from 1 species
GCGCAAUUAGCUCAGAUGGAUAGAGCGUCGGCCUCCGGAGCCGAAGGUCGCAGGUUCGAAUCCUGCAUUGCGCACCA